GACGAAGGAUGCAAGCGUUAUCCGGAUUCAUUGGGUUUAAAGGGAGCGUAGGCGGACUUAUAAGUCAGUGGUGAAAUCUUCGAGCUUAACUCGGAAACUGCCAUUGAUACUGUAGGUUUAGAGUACAGUUGCCGUUGGCGGAAUAUGACAUGUAGUGGUGAAAUACUUAGAUAUGUCAUAGAACACCGAUUGCGAAGGCAGCUAACGAAGCUGUAACUGACGCUGAGGCUCGAAAGUGCGGGGAUCAAACAGG
rnacentral:rRNA from 1 species